rnacentral:rRNA from 1 species
GAUGAACGCUGGCGGCGUGCCUAAUACAUGCAAGUCGAGCGAACAGAUGAGGAGCUUGCUCCUCUGACGUUAGCGGCGGACGGGUGAGUAACACGUGGAUAACCUACCUAUAAGACUGGGAUAACUUCGGGAAACCGGAGCUAAUACCGGAUAAUAUAUUGAACCGCAUGGUUCAAUAGUGAAAGACGGUUUUGCUGUCACUUAUAGAUGGAUCCGCGCCGCAUUAGCUAGUUGGUAAGGUAACGGCUUACCAAGGCAACGAUGCGUAGCCGACCUGAGAGGGUGAUCGGCCACCCUGGAACUGAGACACGGUCCAGACUCCUACGGGACGCAGCAGUAGGGAAUCUUCCGCAAUGGGCGAAAGCCUGACGGAGCAACGCCGCGUGAGUGAUGAAGGUCUUCGGAUCGUAAAACUCUGUUAUUAGGGAAGAACAAAUGUGUAAGUAACUAUGCACGUCUUGACGGUACCUAAUCAGAAAGCCACGGCUAACUACGUG